UUGAAUUGAGUGUUGGUUGCGGUGCUUCUGUUAAAGGUCUGAGCUGAGGUGUCAGCGCAGCCGUUUCACACUGGGAAUUCUGGUCUAAAGUGCCAGGUGCAAGUCUUCUGCAUGCUGCACCCUAUGAGCAAGUGAAACAGGACUAAACCCAAGUGGGGGGAAAAGAUACCACAGCCUUCCAAGAUGUGUGUUCCUCCAUGCUAUGGUGUAAAACAAACCCAGCUUAUUCAACUCCAGGUAUUGUGGGACACUUUGCUCUUUGGACACUCCAUCUUGAAACCAAGCUACCAUGCCAUGGGCAGCCCAUGACACAUGGAGAGGAAGAAUAACACAGCGUUGGAGAGAAGAAAUCCUGAAGUCAGAAUCUCUGAGUUCCAGUUUAGGCUCCAUCAGAUGGUUGGCUUUGG